rnacentral:tRNA from 1 species
AUUUAGGUAGUUUAAGAAAAAUAUUAAUUUGUGGAAUUAAAGAUAUUUGAUAUUUAAGAAGAAAUUCUAAAUU